UAAACUGCAUUUUACAAAUUUCUCCAAAAUUACCGUUUCGUGUACAAAAUGCAAAAACCUUUUCUUUUUCUUUUACAUAGCAUUAUCGUGCGUAAGGCCUUAUAUUAUAAGGUAUAUAAAUUGAAUAAUAGAAGCUGCUUUGGCGGAAGUUUGAACAAAAUAAAACUUUAUUCUUAAAUUUUAAUGUACGAUUAGUAUUAAGUGAAUGUAGUUUGUUGAAAUAAAAUAUGAUGUUCCUAGAUAUACAUAACAAAAAAACACAAAACUGUAUAUUUUUCACAUAAAUGUCUAGAACAUUGAUGGACAAAGUACGGCCCGCAGAGAAUUGUCAACUGCGGCCCGCGUACGAUUCGAAUGUAGACAGCCAUCGUCUCUUUUUAAGAAUGGGAAUACAGGAAUAUAGCUCAGUCCACAUCAUGAUACGUAAUCUUAUGGAGAAAUACCAAAUCAUGCAGGCGGCGACGAUCAGACAGGGUCUGCAUAGUGAAGAAGUUAAGACGCUGGUUGUAGAGGCAUCUGUGCGAUAUAUUCUGUGCAAACCAAGCCAGGUGCACGCUGUACACUUUCUAUUCGCUGUGAUAGACAUGAGUAGAACGGACUACAAACCACACUGCAGUACUCUAGCCGACUUCGGACUAAGGAGUUGUAUAAGCUAAUUUUAAUCUUUGCUUGAAAUUCCCUGGAAGUGCGUUUUACGAAACUUAACAUUUGAGUCGAUUUCCGUACCGCAGAGCCAAUAUGAGAUGUGAAUAUUUAUUAAGUAUUCAUUACAUUUACAUUACAUUUGUAACAGUUACAGCUUUUUUUGAAUAAACAAAGAGAAAAUGAUCCAUUUUCUUUUAAAGUCCGAUAGCCAGAAAUAGUCAUAUCGAAACCAAAAAUACAAAUUGAAGCUAAAUGAACAACCUAUCUAAUCCAUAAGGUAGUCAAAUCGGAAAAAAUUUUUCAUCCGUACACCAAAAAUAAGACCGAGAAAAUUCUAAAAAAAUUUUUACUUUGAUGUUCAUUAAGAUUGCGCGAAUCGUGUUACUUGGAAUAUUUUUUCAAGAUCCAUUUUAAUUAAAUUAAUUAUUUACAAUAAAUUAAAUUUAAAAAAUUAAAAACUUCCAAGCUUUAAA